GAAGUUAUAGUCAACUAUGACAUUUGGGUUGCAUUCAAAAGGCGCUCUUUUCAGAGCUAACUUUA
rnacentral:tRNA from 1 species